rnacentral:lncRNA from 10 species
CCCUUGGUGAGGUGGAGGGGCCUCAGGGAGUUGGCCUCCCACCUCACCAAAUAAGACUCCACACUUUUAAAAUGAAUUACAAAACCACACAACCCAACAGCAUAACACCAAAAACCACAGUCCCAUGAGUCUGUCUUAACAGCCCUCAGAGUGGGCUCAGCAGAUCAUCCUGGUGUGAGUUCAGUGAGUGCUGUUUUAUCAGGGCCAAACCAUGCAGUUGGCCUGUGGUUCUCUAGGGGGCUUGACCUUCAUCAUGGCUCCAGUCACUUCCCACAUCCUUCUGCUCAUGGAAGCAGCCUCAGCUGUUCUGGCCCAGCGGACACCACUGAUUUUACCACAAGGUCACCUGAUCCCAGGCAGCCUGGCUCCCGGCUGCCCAGUGACCCAUGGAGCAGGUGAUGGUGGUUCCUGAACUGCUCUGAUGUGAUCCCUCUGUCAUUCCUGAUCCUUCAGGGCCAGAGAGGCAGCAGCCCCCACCCACAGCAAGACCCCGAAAAUUUGGGCAAGAGCUUGGGGCUGUGUUCUCUCUCAGAAGCUGGGGGUACUCUGGUUCUGCACACAGCUGUCCCCAGUCUGUCCCUCAUAGCUGGGCCUCAUCUCCACCCAUGCUCUAAGAGAAAGCCUGCCUGGGAGGAGAAGAAGUCAGCCAGCAGGGGAGGGUGUCCCACCAAGUAUCAACCAGCGGUUCCGACCACAUUGUCUGCUGUAAAUGAAAUUCAAGAACCCUGGCUUCAUUGCCAAACCAAGGUGUGGGCCCCUGUGUCCACUUACUUCUGCCACUCUCCAGCACUGAGACAGAGAGCCCGGGCUGCCUGGGCAUGGAAGCCUUGUUGGAAGCCUUCUUAUUCUCUUUCCUGGCUUCCAACCUAGUGAGCUGAGAGCUAUUGCCUCAGUGGACCCCUCACCCCAACUCCAUUCUGGCAGGAGUCUGGUCGUCCUUCCCACUGUCCCCAAAGUUCAAGUUGUGUGAUGACCAUGACUUACUUUACCCAAUGAGUACAACAUGCAUGUCAAAUGA